rnacentral:rRNA from 1 species
GAUUAACGCUGGCGGCGUGCAUAACACAUGCAAGUCGAACGAUGAAACUUUAAUGAACCCUUCGGGGAGAAUUAAAGCGGAUUAGUGGCGAACGGGUGAGUAACGCGUGAGUAACCUGCCUUACACAAGGGGAUAGCCUUUGGAAACGAAGAAUAAUACCCUAUAAAACCAUAAAAGCACAUGCAAUUAUGGUCAAAGUGAUAGCGGUGUAAGAUGGACUUGCGUCUGAUUAGCUAGUUGGUGAGAUAAAAGCCCACCAAGGCAACGAUCAGUAGCCGGCUUGAGGGAGUGUACGGCCACAUUGGGACUGAGACACGGCCCAGACUCCUACGGGAGGCAGCAGUGGGGAAUUUUGCACAAUGGGGGAAACCCUGAUGCAGCGACGCCGCGUGAUUUAGAAGGCCUUCGGGUUGUAAAAAUCUUUUGUAUAGGAAGAAAAUGACAGUACUAUACGAAUAAGGUCCGGCUAAUUACGUG